rnacentral:lncRNA from 1 species
UCAUGUUAGCCAGAAACCUAGACUCAAAUUUAACUAAGAAAUGAAUUUACUGGGAAGAAAGUAGAUGACCCAGAAUCAAGAGGAAAUGUUAACAAUCUGGUUUAGAAAGUGAGAGAGAACUAAAGGAAACUAAUUUAGCUGUGCGGCAAUCAAUUAAUGCCAUGCUAAAGAUCCCACAUUCAUGCCACUGCUCUCUCUGCAGGUGCUGCCCUCGCCCAGGUGGAGCCACAGCUGCUGGUGCUCAAGGAACAGUCCUCUACCAACAAGCUUCCGUGAAUCUCUCUGGAGUCAAUGUCCCAGGAUGCACUGUUCUCAUGUUAGUCACAACUUCUCUUCAAAAGGAAAAUAACGCUAACUAAACUGAGAGGUGUGAAAAUGGAGUAGAGGAGUGAGCAGGGGACUAGGAUACUUCACAUCAGGCAGAGUUUUCAACAACUGUGCUAUAGCCUCAACCUCAUUGUUUUCAGGAUUCCACCAUGACAUCUCAGAUUUCGUAUGUUCCU